rnacentral:rRNA from 1 species
CGAAGCACUUUGCAGCGGACUGGAGAGCUUGCUCAAAGGGAAGCAGCAUUUGACUGAGUGGCGGACGGGUGAGUAACGCGUGGAUAACCUGCCUCAUACAGGGGGAUAACAGUUGGAAACGGCUGUUAAUACCGCAUAAGCGCACGAAACCGCAUGGUUUUGUGUGAAAAACUCCGGUGGUAUGAGAUGGGUCCGCGUCUGAUUAGCUAGUUGGCAGGGUAACGGCCUACCAAGGCGACGAUCAGUAGCCGGCCUGAGAGGGUGUACGGCCACAUUGGGACUGAGACACGGCCCAAACUCCUACGGGAGGCAGCAGUGGGGAAUAUUGCACAAUGGGGGAAACCCUGAUGCAGCGACGCCGCGUGGGUGAAGAAGUAUUUCGGUAUGUAAAGCCCUAUCAGCAGGGAAGAAAAUGACGGUACCUGACUAAGAAGCCCCGGCUAACUACGUGCCAGCAGCCGCGGUAAUACGUAGGGGGCAAGCGUUAUCCGGAUUUACUGGGUGUAAAGGGAGCGUAGGUGGCGUGCCAAGUCAGGAGUGAAAACCCAGGGCCCAACCCUGGGACUGCUCUUGAAACUGGCAGGCUUGAGUGCUGGAGAGGUAAGCGGAAUUCCUAGUGUAGCGGUGAAAUGCGUAGAUAUUAGGAGGAACAC